UACGAAGGGGGGCUAGCGUUGCUCGGAAUUACUGGGCGUAAAGGGCGCGUAGGCGGACAGUUUAGUCAGAGGUGAAAGCCCAGGGCUCAACCUUGGAAUUGCCUUUGAUACUGGCUGUCUUGAGUUCGGGAGAGGUGAGUGGAAUGCCGAGUGUAGAGGUGAAAUUCGUAGAUAUUCGGCGGAACACCAGUGGCGAAGGCGACUCACUGGCCCGAUACUGACGCUGACGGCGCGAAAGCGUGGGGAGCAAACAGGG
rnacentral:rRNA from 1 species